CCAGACUCCUACGGGAGGCAGCAGUGGGGGAUAUUGGACAAUGGGGGGAACCCUGAUCCAGCGACGCCGCGUGAGUGAAGAAGUAUUUCGGUAUGUAAAGCUCUGUCAGCAGGGAAGAAAGAAAUGACGGUACCUGACCAAGAGGCCCCGGCUAACUACGUGCCAGCAGCCGCGGUAAUACGUAGGGGGCAAGCGUUAUCCGGAAUUACUGGGUGUAAAGGGAGCGUAGACGGCAGCGCAAGUCUGAAGUGAAAUGCCGGGGCUUAACCCCGGAACUGCUUUGGAAACUGUGCAGCUAGAGUGCAGGAGAGGUAAGUGGAAUUCCUAGUGUAGCGGUGAAAUGCGUAGAUAUUAGGAGGAACACCAGUGGCGAAGGCGGCUUACUGGACUGUAACUGACGUUGAGGCUCGAAAGCGUGGGGAGCAAACAGGAUUAGAUACCCCCGUAGCC
rnacentral:rRNA from 1 species